UAAACUUCGACAUUUGACCAACUCAAAUUUGAAGAAUUAGAAUAAUCAGAUGUACAACUUACAAUGUAAUAUCAAAGGAACGAACUUGGAAGUACAUUUAUAAUCAGAUGUACAAUUAUCAAGGGAACGAACUUGGAAGUGCAACUUACAAUGUAAUAUAUAUAUAUUUUUUUUCUUUUUGCUUAAAAUGAUUUAUCGUUGUUUAUAUGUUUUGAGGUUUUUUCAUUGGCUAGUGUAGGUCGGCUCCCAUAGAUCAAGGGCUUACCAAUUAUUGAUUGACCAAACUUUCAUGAUUCUUCUGUGAUGAUCAUAAUAAAUUGACCAAUUAAUUGAAAAAAAAGAGUGAAUAGAUAUCAAACUACUUCAAAUGGCUUGUCUUACAAACAAAUGCCAUUUUUCAUUACUUGAGAGAGUGAUAAGCAGUGGUUAUUUUGUGUAUGAAUUUUGUUCGUGCUUCUAUAUAUAACGAAGACUUUCAAUACUUGUGUUGAGGAUCAUUACUGCUUCAAAAAUAAAGUUAUCCUUUUUUAAAGUUCAAGUUGCCUAAUGAUUCGCUUUGUGUGGCAGAUGACAAAGCAUGCUUGGUGUAGCUUGUUCAGUACUGAUAGUAACCUUGUGACAAAAUCUUUAGGCUCUCUUGUUAAAUACUAAACUUAUGACACGUUCCUUAGGCUUGACCUAGUUUCAGAUUGUCUAUUGCAUCUCAACAUGUCUAAAAUGUAUCUAAUGACCAGUGAUGUCAAUGAUAUGUAAACUAUAAAAUGUUUGUCUGUUAUUUUCUAGCACGAUAAGAUUUUCACAAUUUUCUUUUUCUAAAUGUUUAAAAGCACUUUUGAUGCUAUCAAGCUUUAUUGGCUUUUUUCAUUAGCAAACUCUAAUAAAUUUUCAUGCCAAAAUUUCUCUCUCUCUCUCUCUCUCUCUCUCUCUCUCUCACACACACACACACACACACACACACACACACACACACACACACACACAGAUACUCCUGCCGUGAAGGGGAGGCUUUAGUGCUCAUCUUUGAAUGUAGAAAAGGGACUAAUUUUCUAUUUUUAAUAUUGUUGGGAAUGUUUUGUAUGUUAGACUUGUAUCAAAACCAUCAAUCAACAUGCUUUGUAACUAGCCAUUGGUCGAUGUCAUGUGAAUAUCCUAUGACAAUUUUUUAUACAAAAAAUUGUGUGCCGAGUGUCACGAAUGACCUGGUAUGAAUAUUUUUCUUUAACAUGUUCUGUAAAAGAUUGAAUUUUCUCAUUUGUUGGAUAAAAGCAAAGAUUGGCUGCUAAUCAUUCUAGUCUUCUAAUGUUGAUUUUCUUGUAUGUAGUGUAGUGCUUUAUCAAAAGGCUGGGGCUAGAUCUAUUCCUAGUCCACCCCUCCGUACACCUUGGAUUAAUCAAGCAACACAUCUUUCCUUGGGCAAACUUCACUUUAUCCUCCCUGUGGUUUGGGCUAUGUACUGUUUCCCCCUAACAUUUGGAAAUGACGACAUAACUACCUUGUCGUUUGUAGAUUGAAUUGCACCAUUAGGCCAGUUAACGAUUUAUUGAAAAAUACUAAAAUAUCUCUAUAUUUUCGUCAUUUGUUUGGAAGGCAAAGUGCACUUUAACCCCCUAUGCUCUAUUUCAUAUGCAGUUUACUCCCUUAACAUUUGAAAAUGACCACAUAACCCCCUUGUGGUUUAUGGACUGAAGUGCACCAUUAGGCCCGUUGAUGAUUUAAUGAAAAAGACUAAAAUACUCCUAUAUUUUCGUCAUUUGUUUAGAAGCCAAAGUGUACUUUAACCCCUAUGCUUUGUUCUAUGUGUGAUUUAUGCCCUUGAAAUUUGAAAAUGAACAUAUAAUCCCUUUAUGUCUGCCAAGUUGGAUGGAAUGUUUAACAGUACACUUUAGUUCACAAACCACGUGUGGGUUAUGUAAUUAUUUCCAAAUGUUGGGGGGUAAACUGCACAUGGCCCAAACCACGGGGUAAAGUGAAGUUUUCCCUUUCCUUUAUAUUGCUCUCUACAUGCUACACCUGCAUGUUUUUAAACACAAGUUCUUAAGAAUUGUGCUUGCAACAAUGAAACAAACAAUGCCUAAAAGAGUUUCAGCUAUGAGAAUAUUUAUGCCAAAAGCAGCACAGUCAGAGAUUUUAGAGAAUUUGCUUCCUUAUUAUGGUUUAUAUUUGGAUGGAUUUAAUGUACAAUAUGUGAUGUCAUUUUGCCAAUAUACUGUUUGUGGUUGUUAACAAGGACUAAGAAAACCUUAAACAUGGGUUUUCUUGCAUGCAAUUUGAUAUGCAUUGUUGAAAAUUCAAUGUGGAUAUUACUGUCUCGUAUUCUUGUGCUUGGUUAUGAGUUUGGAAAUAUUGUUGAGUAAAAUUUUACAGCAUGAAAAAGAAAAUCCAUACUUCGUUGAUGACAUCAAAUUCACUGUUGAUAUAUCCAUAUUCACUUUAAUAAUUUGAGCUGCAAUUUUAUUUUAUUUUUUAUUUUUUGUUGACAUCAACAUUUGAAACCAUGUAUGAGAAAAUCUAACCAACUUAUUGCAUGUGCAGUAGCCAUUUAUCUACUUUUCUGGUGGCCAUCAUGGCAUUACCUAAUACUUGGAAUUUCUAUAAUUGCAAAUUUUUGUUAAUCUUUUAGCUUUCAAGAAGAGCAAUAUCUUUUUUUAUUUGAACUUGACAUAUUACAUGUUGUAAUGUUUUAGGCCCUCAUAAAAUUCAAGGAAUUGGUGCUGGUUUCAUCCCUGGGGUAAUGGAUGUCGCUUUAGUUGAUGAAGUUGUUCAAAUAUCAAGUGAGGAAGCUAUUGAAACUGCCUAGCUUCUUGCAUUGAAGGAAGGUUUGCU